rnacentral:lncRNA from 1 species
UGCCGAAGGUUCCCCUGGACGAGACGGUUCUCCUGGCGCCAAGGGUGACCGUGGUGAGACCGGCCCCGCUGGACCCCCUGGUGCUCCUGGUGCUCCUGGUGCCCCUGGCCCCGUUGGCCCUGCUGGCAAGAGUGGUGAUCGUGGUGAGACUGUAAGUAGCUGGGCUCCAGUUCCCUGUACCUGGUCAGGCCAGGGACUCUUCAGGCCUCCUUAGAGGCCUGGGGAUGGGUGUCGGACUUCACCCAGGCAGGGGGAGGAAAGGAGAUCCUGCAAGAUGUCAGGGCCUUAAUCCAAAAAACUGAGUUAAAGCUCAGCCCCAAGUCCCCUCUCCCAGACAGGACCGCCUCUCCCAUGAGUUGGCCCCAGCUCCCGUGAAGAUUGCAGUGGGGAGGUUUCCCUGGGAGUUGGGAGAGAUGGCCACAGUGGGAAGCAGCUGAGGAGAGAGAGAUCCAGCAGAGGGGAGGCCUCAUCCUGCAGCCCCAGCCUCAGCCUUCCCUGGCCAAGAGCUCAUGCUUUCCUUGCUCUCCCCAGGGUCCUGCUGGUCCCGCCGGUCCUGUCGGCCCUGUUGGCGCCCGUGGCCCCGCCGUAAGUACCCUGCUGUGUCCCCCAUGCCUUUAGAACUCUACAGAUGCAGACAGUGCCCCACUCGAUGCCAAUGGAACUUCCGCCUGACAGUUUGUCCCUUUCUCUCUUCUAGGGACCCCAAGGCCCCCGUGGUGACAAGGGUGAGACAGGCGAACAGGGCGACAGAGGCAUAAAGGGUCACCGUGGCUUCUCUGGCCUCCAGGG